ACGGAAGGCAGCAGUGGGGAAUAUUGGACAAUGGGCGAAAGCCUGAUCCAGCGACGCCGCGUGAGUGAAGAAGUAUUUCGGUAUGUAAAGCUCUAUCAGCAGGGAAGAUAAUGACGGUACCUGACUAAGAAGCCCCGGCUAACUACGUGCCAGCAGCCGCGGUAAUACGUAGGGGGCAAGCGUUAUCCGGAUUUACUGGGUGUAAAGGGAGCGUAGACGGUAUGGCAAGUCUGAUGUGAAAACCCAGGGCUCAACCCUGGGACUGCAUUGGAAACUGUCAAACUAGAGUGCAGGAGAGGUAAGUGGAAUUCCUAGUGUAGCGGUGAAAUGCGUAGAUAUUAGGAGGAACACCAGUGGCGAAGGCGGCUUACUGGACUGUAACUGACAUUGAGGCUCGAAAGCGUGGGGAGCAAACAGAAUUAGAUACCCUGGUA
rnacentral:rRNA from 1 species